UCUGAGGUGCAGUUAACUCUAAUGAACUUAUCCUCUGCAGCAGAGGUAACUCUGGGUCUUCCUUUCCUGUGGUGGUCCUAAUGAGAGCCAGUUUCAACAUUGCUCUUGAUGGUUUUUGCGACUGCACUUGAAGAAACUUUCAAAGUUCUUGACAUUUUCUGGAUUGACUGACCUUCAUGUCUUAAAGUAAUGAUGGACUGUUGUUUCUCUUUGCUUAUUUGAGCUGUUCUUGCCAUAAUAUAGACUUGGUCUUUUACCAAAUAGGGCUAUCUUCUGUUUCCAACACCUACCUUGUCACGACACAACUGAUUGGCUCAAACACAUUAAAAAGGAAAGAAAUUCCAUAAAUUAACGUUUAACAAGGCACAGAUUGUUAAUUGAAAUGCAUUCCAGGUGACUACCUCAUGAUGGCAAAGGGUGACUACUUUGAAGAAUAUAAAAUUCAUUUUGAUGUAACUUUUUUUGGUUACUACGUUAUUUCAUAGUUUUGAUGGCUUCACUAUUAUUCUAGAAAGUAGAAAAUAGUAAGAAAUAAAGAAAAACCCUUGAAUGAGUAGGUGUCUAAACUUUUGACUGGUACUGUAAGUUACAUGAUUCCAGUCCAGGGAUAAAGAAAGCAUGUUCGCUCAAUACAGACGACACUGCACAUGAGUUACUGAAUAUCUUAAACAAAAUGGGAGGGUUUAGAGGCACAGCCCCCUACUGGGUUAAGGGAGGGUUUAGAGGCACAGCCCCCUACUGGGUUAAGGGAGGGUUUAGAGGCACAGCCCCCUACUGGGUUAAGGGAGGGUUUAGAGGCACAGCCCCCUACUGGGUUAAGGGAGGGUUUAGAGGCACAGCCCCCUACAGGGUUAAGGGAGGGUUUAGAGGCACAGCCCCCUACUGGUUUAAUUCUCCAUCUUCCCGAAAAGUGUAUGUGAGUUAAUCAAAAUGACCGGUAAUGACUUGUGCUUGCCAACGUUUCUACCUGGUUCCGUGUCUGGAGCGUGACAUGUAUCUUCCAAGCAGAAGGCCGGUGAUAAUAUAAGAAAAUCCCAAUUGGAUUGUGUAAAUUAUUACAUGUGCUGUAGCUAUAGAUCUGAACCUGUUUGAAUGCCUAAUGCUUGAAGCCAAAAAUGUAUCUGACCUGGGGAGAUGCAUGUCAUGCCCAGCACCGUCCAAAUAUUGCAAAAUAUGUUGCAGAGUGUGAGCAAGUGGUUUAUGUGUGAAUGUGUUUCUCAUACAUCAGUUACCCAGCUGUACUGGAUGGGAUCGAUGGCCUAAAAAGCAACCUGCGUGUUUCAUUGAGACACGUACAGUGUUUUCAUAGGAAUACCUGUAGCUUCCUUGUAGAUUAGCACUAAAGGACAUCAGGAGUUCUGAGGAUUUUCCUUUGGGCAUGCGGUCAGAAAGGCACAUUUUGUUGUAUGCCGAAACACACGCAUAAUGCGCACACACCUACGCAUUCACUAAUACGCACAUGCACUAAAGGCCUAAAAUGAGGUAUCUAUGUCCCAUUACCACUUAGUGUUUGUCAAAGGUAACGAUCCCAACUCCAGACUUGCUCAUCAGGUAAUGUUGACCACCUGCUGACCUUACAUCAACAUCCAUAUCUAUUUAGGAUAUCUGAGAAGGGUUUCUUACUGACCUCUGGUGUUAGUGCUUCAUACAUUCCGUUUCUACAUGCCAUGAUUUGAAUCACUUUUAGAUACUACGGGAGGAUUUUUGUUUUGGAACGUGUAAGAAUCUAUUUGACAUAUUUAUUGUUCUGUGUAAUUUUACCCACAAAUGUUAUAUUUUUAUUACGUAUUUGUUUAAUUGUGCAAUUUCAGUAUGCCUGCGUUACUUCAGACGAGAUGUGUGCCCCUGUGCCAACCCGUAUGUCUUACCUUACACCAUAUCCUGUUCCCUCCACCGUUCUGGUCGCAGGUCAGAUUACAGAGCACUGGUUAGAGGUCAGUCAAGCCAUAUCUAGGCUUUGAAUAGAGCUUUGGGUAUUUCUGGCACAGAGGGGUAUGUCUUGUCCUUUAAAAAAAUGCCAUAACUAUCAAAUAUUUGAUAAUGAUGGCUGUAGUUCCUAAGUUCAGUAGCUUUAGUUCAGAUGGACUUCAUUCCAGAUCCUUAGUGGUUGGAGAUACUGUAACAUCUACAUGCUGGCUGUACAUGAUACUGAGCAUAUGCAACCUGGUGUCCCUUCCAUGCCAAAUGUGAUUUACCAUACUUUCAUAUGGGAGAAAUGUAUAUAUUUUUCUUGACUUCAAGGGUCUGGAGUGCCCAGAGGGUUGUGUACACCAGAUGGCGAUAUUACGGAGGACUCUUUGUAACGUUUCCUUUUGAAACACUAAAGCUAUCAGGGGGCUGAGUAUGGGCUGUGCUCAGACUAGCGUGGAGAUACCGCUGGACUCUCACCUGCCUGGGCUGUGUCCUAGGUCGGGGUAGGAGUAGGACUUACUAUA
rnacentral:lncRNA from 13 species